ACGGGGAUGAAGGGUAAGCUGUAACGGUCUUGGUUAUAGCCUUUCAUGGCAUCGGGGAUCUUUCUGUUGGAUAAGAAAUUGUCGUGGAUUUGGAGCGUUGAUUUGGCAGUUUCGGAGGAGGACAUGACUAUGGUAGUGAUUUGGCCAAGUUUGAGGGUCAUGAUGGGGCCAUGGGUUUUGGAGAGAGUGGCCAAGGUUUGAUGGGGUUUGUGGCCAAGUUGGAAGAGGUUCCCAACUAUGGGAAGACCCUUUGGUCCUGGGGGAAGUGGAAGCUUCUUCUUCUUGUGGUUUGGUUUCAAGAUUGUAUUGGCAAGAAACAGUAUAAAGGUGAUGGUAAGGAGAAAUAGCAAGAUGCAGCUGAUUGUGUCCAUUUCUUGUGGUGAAGGGGGGAUAUUGCAGCGUUGAAUCCACACACCAUAAUACCAUAUAUAUAGGGAAAUGGAAGGAUAAGAGAUGACCUUUCUUUCUCUCUCUCCAUUGACAAUCUUCUAGGAUUAAUAUUACACUUGAUAUGGUGAAAAAUGAAGAGAUGAAGUGAAACAAAAUAAUUAAUGCAGUAUGAUAAUGCAAAUUACUUCUUUCUAAAGUCAUUUAAACAACCCGAACAAAUUUGAUAAGAAGAUAUAUAGAGAGGGAAAAAUGAGAUGUGCAUGAUAUGAAGUGUUUGGGUAUUUCAGUCUAUAGUUUGGUGGGUAUUUAAAUAUAGUAGUAUUUAUAUGUAUUUAUAUGUUCUCUU
rnacentral:lncRNA from 1 species